AUGAACACGGAGGGGAUGUGGCGCUGCGUGGAGGAGAAGGAGGUCGUGGCGGCCGCGCGCGACCAGCUCGCCGCCCAGCCAGGCUCGAGAAGGAGUGCGGCCUCUACGAGCGCAACCUCAAGCGCGCCAUGGAGUCAUGCGACGAGCUCUCCUGGGAGAGCGACGACCUAUGCAAGCGCCUCAGGGACGCCCCCGACGUCACUUACUGAACAAGUGCAAGCGCCGCAGAGGGACAAGAAGAUACUCAAGACCAACCUAAAAAAAGCAGAGGAGGUUAAGUUAUUCGAGGAGAAAAGAGCUGUUGACGAAGCCAACAAGACGCUAUUGUGCUUACUGGAGAAGGAGCAGAAACAUCGGUCCGAAAGGAAGCACUCCGCCAGCAAUUCCACCAAGCAGAAGCGCAAGUCGUCGAGCCUGAAGGACACGAGCCCGAUCGGCCUAGCCAUCGAUUUCAACAACACAGAAGCAUGCAGCCAAACUCCCCAGACUGUAGGGUGCACAAGAAGU
rnacentral:rRNA from 1 species